GGCGCGGAAACUUUCUAUAAAACGUUGCAUCCAGAAAUUAGUACAUGCGUGCCAGUGCCAUAAUGUCAACUGUUGCCAGCCCGGCUGUCAGAAGAUGAAACGAGUUGUACGGCAUACAAAAGUAUGUAAAAGUAAGACAAAAGGUGGCUGCAGUGUAUGCAAACAGCUUGUUGCAAUUGGCUGUUACCAUUCAAAGCAUUGCCAGAUACACAUUCACAGCUAUAUCCUUACAAGGAAGAAAAGGAAAACACUGACAGGUGAAAGAAAAAUUCAGUUGUUGCAAAGUACAGCAGCAGUGCAGCGUGCAGGAGAAAGAUUCUCGCUGUCUAGCUAUAACAAGCCACUCAGAAAGAGAAGGGGAUGUGCAGAGAGGCUGAAAAUUGGGCAGCCUUCCUACAUGGUGCGGACUUUAGUUAACUGGAAAACUUGAUACAAGAAUAACUGUAAUAGCCAGAAUAAUCAAAAUCAAAAAGACUCAAUGAGUGAAGCAUGUUAAGAAGUACUAGGGAGCCUAUUGAGAAAAUUUGAGAUAUUGAUGUGAAAUAUGGAAUUGCUUGUAGUUAAGAGAGAUCCUGGAAGACAUUUUAAACAGUUCACAGGAACCAAAAUGUUCAGUGCCAUUCUGUCCCAACAUCAAACAUACGCUGAAGCAGCAUAAAAUUCAGCAGGUAGAUAACCUACAAAGGCGAAUGGCAGCAAUGAACAUCAGGACAACAGUACCUGUUGGUCUACUACCAGGCAGUUCAGGGGUGCUGGGUGUUGGUGGUGCAGGUUCAGCAGUUACUCCAGUGGGUGAUUUUACACCAGCAACAUCAGGUGCUGGCAUUUUGGUUGGUUUGCAGCCUUCACAUCGAUCAGACAUUAGUGGUUUGAAGCCUGAUGCACAGACUCCCAGUGCACAUUGUGAAA